GUGGGGAAUAUUGGACAAUGGGCGAAAGCCUGAUCCAGCCAUGCCGCGUGUGUGAAGAAGGUCUUCGGAUUGUAAAGCACUUUACGUUGGGAGGAAGGGCAGUAAGUUAAUACCUUGCUGUUUUGACGUUACCGACAGAAUAAGCACCGGCUAACUUCGUGCCAGCAGCCGCGGUAAUACGAAGGGUGCAAGCGUUAAUCGGAAUUACUGGGCGUAAAGCGCGCGUAGGUGGUUUUGUAAGUUGGAGGUGAAAUCCCCGGGCUCAACCUGGGAACUGCAUACAAAACUGCAUGACUAGAGUACGGUAGAGGGUAGUGGAAUUUCCUGUGUGGCGGUGAAAUGCGUAGAUAUAGGAAGGAACACCAGUGGCGAAGGCGACUACCUGGACUGAUACUGACACUGAGGUGCGAAAGCGUGGGGAGCAAACAGGAUUAGAAACCCGAGUAGUCC
rnacentral:rRNA from 1 species